rnacentral:rRNA from 1 species
CCUACGGGAGGCAGCAGUGGGGAAUCUUGCGCAAUGGGCGGAAGCCUGACGCAGCAACGCCGCGUGUGGGAAGACGGCUUUCGGGUUGUAAACCACUUUCAGGGGGGACGAAGCUUCCGAGGUUAAUAGCCUACGGGGUGACGGUACCCCCAGAAGAAGCCCCGGCUAACUACGUGCCAGCAGCCGCGGUAAUACGUAGGGGGCGAGCGUUGUCCGGAAUCAUUGGGCGUAAAGCGCGUGUAGGCGGCUUGAUAAGUCUGGUGUGAAAUCUUGGGGCUUAACCCCAAGCCUGCACUGGAUACUGUCAAGCUUGAGUCCGGGAGGGGAGAGCGGAAUUCCUAGUGUAGCGGUGAAAUGCGCAGAUAUUAGGAAGAACACCGGUGGCGAAGGCGGCUCUCUGGAACGGUACUGACGCUGAGACGCGAAAGCGUGGGGAGCGAACAGGAUUAGAUACCCUGGUAGUCCACGCCGUAAACGAUGGGCACUAGAUGUGGGCGGUGUCGACUCCGUCCGUGUCGAGCUAACGCAUUAAGUGCCCGCCUGGGAGUCGGCCGCAGGCUAAAACUCAAAUGAAUUGACGGCNGAGACGNGCGACGACGACGACGAGGGAGAGG